rnacentral:snoRNA from 1 species
UUCCAAAGUGUUGAGUUCAGUUCAGGGUAGCAUCCCUGUGCUGUUAAUUAAACUUUGGAACAUUGAAACAGGCUAGGAUA